UACGUAGGGUGCAAGCGUUGUCCGGAAUUAUUGGGCGUAAAGAGCUCGUAGGCGGUCUGUCGCGUCGGAUGUGAAAACUCGGGGCUCAACCCCGGGCCUGCAUUCGAUACGGGCAGACUAGAGUGUGGUAGGGAGACUGGAAUUCCUGGUGUAGCGGUGAAAUGCGCAGAUAUCAGGAGGAACACCGAUGGCGAAGGCAGGUCUCUGGGCCACUACUGACGCUGAGAAGCGAAAGCGUGGGAGCGAACAGG
rnacentral:rRNA from 1 species